GCGUCGGUAGUGCAGCGGUUCAGCACGCGCUGCCGAAAAGAGUGAGAUGUGGGUUCGAAACACGGUUGAUGCA